UGGGUCCUAAUGUUAGGACCCGCCAUAGAACAGCUUUUUGGUCGCUCAUGCAACAUCUUGGUAUUGUAUAGUCUUUGUUAGUACGUUUGUGGGCGUAGCCACCAGCCAACAGGAAAAUACCUUUUCCGAUCAUUAUAACAACAGAGGUUGUUUUGUUCGAGAAUAAAAUGCAUAAAAUAAAAAUUAUAGGUCACGUUUGUGGGUUCCAUUCGGUGCAGAGGACUUGGAAGCUAAAAGGUUACUCCGAACACUCAACCCCUUCGCACGCACGCACUCACUUUCCUCUGGGUAGUCGGCCUUCCUUGCAUUUUUAAAGCACCGCGCUGGCAGCCAUCAAUUUAUCAUGCUGUUGUGUUGGCCAUAUAAGCGGAAGUUGUACAACCCAGCACUACAUGCCCUGCCAGCCGUAUGAGCAGCAACAAUACCAUCAGGAGCAGGCAGCCGCAGCGGCAGGCACGAGAUGGAGAAGGAAGUCGAAGACACAACCCCACUUUCGGGGGGCGGGGGAUGAGUGUCACAUCUAUUUUCAACAUUGUGCACACAUUUCAUUCAUUGAGUGCAUGUCGGGCCCGAGACCAGAACGAGAAUAUUUACAACCAUAGAGGCAUUUAUGCGCUUUUAUGAGAUUUUAUGGGACAUUUAAAAAAGACAGUUGGUUAUUUUUUUACUAAGUUGAUAAUUAUCUUGUGGGUGGAUGUGCACGUGUGUGUGUGCAAUCAAAACGCAAUGAAUUCAAUUGAAAAUUUUCCAUUUCUUCUUCAAUCUGAAGUUAUUUACAGCUUGACUCCAGUCCUUCAGUCCAGGACGGGGAGGGGGAGGGGAGCGAGCAAUGGAAAAGUGCAGCAAUUGGGCAGUCGUCGAACUUUUUGCACUCGAUAUGUGACGACAAGGACAUCGCUGUGCUUUUCACUCGCCUCCCCGAAACUGAUAAA